rnacentral:rRNA from 1 species
GGCGUAAAGGGCUCGCAGGCGGUUUCUUAAGUCUGAUGUGAAAGCCCCCGGCUCAACCGGGGAGGGUCAUUGGAAACUGGGGAACUUGAGUGCAGAAGAGGAGAGUGGAAUUCCACGUGUAGCGGUGAAAUGCGUAGAGAUGUGGAGGAACACCAGUGGCGAAGGCGACUCUCUGGUCUGUAACUGACGCUGAGGAGCGAAAGCGUGGGGAGCGAACAGGAUUAGAUACCCUGGUAGUCCACGCCGUAAACGAUGAGUGCUAAGUGUUAGGGGGUUUCCGCCCCUUAGUGCUGCAGCUAACGCAUUAAGCACUCCGCCUGGGGAGUACGGUCGCAAGACUGAAACUCAAAGGAAUUGACGGGGGCCCGCACAAGCGGUGGAGCAUGUGGUUUAAUUCGAAGCAACGCGAAGAACCUUACCAGGUCUUGACAUCCUCUGACAAUCCUAGAGAUAGGACGUCCCCUUCGGGGGCAGAGUGACAGGUGGUGCAUGGUUGUCGUCAGCUCGUGUCGUGAGAUGUUGGGUUAAGUCCCGCAACGAGCGCAACCCUUGAUCUUAGUUGCCAGCAUUCAGUUGGGCACUCUAAGGUGACUGCCGGUGACAAACCGGAGGAAGGUGGGGAUGACGUCAAAUCAUCAUGCCCCUUAUGACCUGGGCUACACACGUGCUACAAUGGACAGAACACAGGGCAGCGAAACCGCGAGGUUAAGCCAAUCUCACAAAUCUGUUCUCAGUUCGGAUCGCAGUCUGCAACUCGACUGCGUGAAGCUGGAAUCGCUAGUAAUCGCGGAUC